rnacentral:rRNA from 1 species
GACGAACGCUGGCGGCGUGCUUAACACAUGCAAGUCGAACGGAAAGGCCCUGCAUUUGUGGGGUGCUCGAGUGGCGAACGGAUGAGUAACACGUGAGUAACCUGCCCUUGACUUUGGGAUAACUUCAGGAAACUGGGGCUAAUACCGGAUAGGAGCUCCUGCUGCAUGGUGGGGGUUGGAAAGUUUCGGCGGGUGGGGAUGGACUCGCGGCUUAUCAGCGUGUUGGUGGGGUAGUGGCUUACAAAGGCUUUGACGGGUAGCCGGCCUGAGAGGGUGACCGGCCACAUUGGGACUGCGAUACGGCCCAGAGUCCUACGGGAGGCAGCAGUGGGGAAUAUUGCACAAUGGGCGGAAGCCUGAUGCAGCAACGCCGCGUGCGGGAUGACGGCCUUCGGGUUGUAAACCGCUUUCGCCUGUGACGAAGCGUGAGUGACGGUAAUGGGUAAAGAAGCACCGGCUAACUACGUG